UAAUGCUGAUUGCAUGGGAAAAGUUCAGUUUAGGGUUUAAAACCUUAAUGCUGACUAAAGGAAAAAUUCAGUUUAGGGUUUAAAACCCUAAUGCUGAUUGCAUGGAAAAGCUCAAUUUAGGGUUUAAAACCCUAAUGCUGGCUGAAUGGGAAGAGUUCAGUUUAGGGUUUAAAACCCUAAUGCUGACUAAAGGAAAAAUUCAGUUUAGAGUUUAAAACCCUAAUGCUGAUUGCAUGGAAAAGCUCAGUUUAGGGUUUAAAACCCUAAUGCUGGUUGAAUGGGAAAAGUUCAGUUUAGGGUUUAAAACCCUAAUGCUGACUAAAGAAAAAAUUCAGUUUAGGGUUUAAAACCCUAAUGCUGAUUGCAUGGAAAAGCUCAAUUUAGGGUUUGAAACCCUAAUGCUGACUGAAGGAAAAAGUUCAGUUUAAGGUUUAAAACCCUAAUGCUGACUAAAGGAAAAAUUCAGUUUAGGGUUUAAAACCCUAAUGCUGGCUGAAUGGAAAAAAGUUCAAUUUAGGGUUUAAAACCCUAAUGCUGACUAAAGGAAAAAAUUCAGUUCAGGGUUUAAAACCCUAAUGCUGACUGAAAGGAAAAAUUCAGUUUAGGGUUUAAAACCCUAAUGCUGACUGGAAGGAAAAGCUCAGUUUAGGGUUUAAAACCCUAAUGUUGGCUGAAUGGAAAAAGUUCAGUUUAGGGUU
rnacentral:lncRNA from 1 species